ensembl:rRNA 5S_rRNA 5S ribosomal RNA
GUCUACAGCCAUACCAUACUGAACGUACCCGAUCCUGUCUGAUCUUGGAAACUAAGCGGGGCUGGGCCCGGUUAUUACUUGAAUGGGAGACCACCUAGGAAUACCAGGUGCUGUAAGUG